GGAUGUUCCAACUAUAUGUCCCCAUUCAAAUGCAUUGAUCGGCAAAAAGAAUGGGGGUUCCAACCCCUGGAAUAGGAUCCGCCAAUGAGAAGACUGUGACUCAGUCAGAAAAAGGUUCACAACAAAGUAUUUAUUUUUUGUGCAACGUUCAUGAAAUAAUGUCUUAUUUCACGUUUUUUAUGUGCAAGCACCCCCCUUACCACCCACUGCACACUUAGUGACCUACCCUUAUCCUAGUCCAAAUAAUUAUGAGUCUUGAAAGGCUAAAUAAUUUUUUUUCUUUGUAUAAUAGCCUUUCAAGACAUCAUAAUUAUUUGGGCUAUCCUUAUCUUAUCCCAUCCCAUCCCAUCCCAUUCCCCCCCC
rnacentral:lncRNA from 1 species